rnacentral:lncRNA from 1 species
UGGAACCCUUCACGACCCCCGCCCCUGCCCCCACCGGACCGUUCCUGCCCUACUUGAACCCUGCGCCCUUUGGCCUAAGCCCCCCGCGCCUGCGCCCCUUCCUGGCCGCUGCACCCGGGCCGCCGGCUUCCAGCGCCGCCGUCUGGAAAAAGAGCCAAGCCCCCGAAGACCCCAGGGCGGCUCCGACGCGCCCUCAGGUGCGUGCAGGUGACCACCAGGGAGGGGUGGAG